GACGGAGGGAGCAAGCGUUGUUCGGAUUUACUGGGCGUAAAGGGCGUCUAGGCGGAUAGGUAAGUCAGGUGUGAAAUCCCCCGGCUCAACCGGGGACCUGCACUUGAUACUGCCAGUCUUGAGUUCGGAAGAGGAAAGCGGAAUUCCUGGUGUAGCGGUGAAAUGCGUAGAUAUCAGGAAGAACACCGGUGGCGAAGGCGGCUUUCUGGUCCGUAACUGACGCUGAAGCGCGAAAGUGUGGGGAG
rnacentral:rRNA from 1 species